UAUUAAAAACAUGGCCUUUUGAUUAUAAUUUAAGGUCUGGCCUGCCCAAUGAUUUGUAUUUAAUGGCCGCAGUAUUUUGACUGUGCAAAGGUAGCAUAAUCAUUAGUUUUUUAAUUGAAAGCUUGUAUGAAAGGUUUGAUGAAAAAAUUACUGUCUCUAUCUAAAUUUAUUAGAAUUUUAUUUUUAAGUAAAAAAGCUUAAAUGUUUAUUGAAGACGAGAAGACCCUAUAGAGUUUUAUAUUUAAAUAAGAUAAUAAAUUUUUAGAAUUUUAAGUAUGUUUUUAUUUAAAUAUUUGGUUGGGGUGAUAGAAAAAUUUAAUAAACUUUUUUUUUAAAAAACAUUAAUUUAUGAAAGUUUGAUCCUUUAUUUAAGAUUAAAAGAUGAAAUUACCUUAGGGAUAACAGCGUAAUUUUUUUUAGAGUUCAAAUCGAAGAAAAAGAUUGCGACCUCGAUGUUGGAUUAAAAUGAAUUAUUGGCGCAAAAGUUGAUAAAUUAGGUCUGUUCGACCUUUAAAAUUUUACAUGAUCUGAGUUUAAACCGGUGUGAGCCAGGU
rnacentral:rRNA from 1 species